GACGAACGCUGGCGGCGUGCUUAAUACAUGCAAGUCGAGCGAGGUCCAUCUGGUGGCAACACCAGUGAAGGCCGAGCGGCGAACGGGUGAGUAACACGUGAGCAACCUGCCCCGAAGUCUGGAAUAACAUCGGGAAACCGGUGCUAAUACCGGAUCGCCCCACCUGACCGCAUGAUCGGGUGAGGAAAGAUUUAUCGCUUCGGGGAGGGGCUCGCGGCCUAUCAGCAGUUGGUGGGGUAACGGCCUACCAAGGCAUCGACGGGUAGCUGGUCUGAGAGGACGACCAGCCACACUGGGACUGAGACACGGCCCAGACUCCUACGGGAGGCAGCAGUAGGGAAUCUUGCGCAAUGGGCGAAAGCCUGACGCAGCAACGCCGCGUGGGGGAUGACGGCC
rnacentral:rRNA from 1 species